rnacentral:rRNA from 1 species
UACGUAGGGUCCGAGCGUUGUCCGGAAUUACUGGGCGUAAAGAGCUUGUAGGCGGUUUGUCGCGUCUGCUGUGAAAUUUCGGGGCUCAACCCCGAACUUGCAGUGGGUACGGGCAGACUAGAGUGUGGUAGGGGAGACUGGAAUUCCUGGUGUAGCGGUGAAAUGCGCAGAUAUCAGGAGGAACACCGAUGGCGAAGGCAGGUCUCUGGGCCAUAACUGACGCUGAGAAGCGAAAGCAUGGGGAGCGAACAGG